GACGAACGCUGGCGGCGUGCUUAACACAUGCAAGUCGAACGGAAAGGCCCUGCUUUUGUGGGGUGCUCGAGUGGCGAACGGGUGAGUAACACGUGAGUAACCUGCCCUUGACUUUGGGAUAACUUCAGGAAACUGGGGCUAAUACCGGAUAGGAGCUCCUGCUGCAUGGUGGGGGUUGGAAAGUUUCGGCGGUUGGGGAUGGACUCGCGGCUUAUCAGCUUGUUGGGGGGGUAGUGGCUUACCAAGGCUUUGACGGGUAGCCGGCCUGAGAGGGUGACCGGCCACAUUGGGACUGAGAUACGGCCCAGACUCCUACGGGAGGCAGCAGUGGGGAAUAUUGCACAAUGGGCGGAAGCCUGAGGCAGCAACGCCGCGUGCGGGAUGACGGCCUUCGGGUUGUAAACCGCUUCCGCCUGUGACGAAGCGUGAGUGACGGUAAUGGGUAAAGAAGCACCGGCUAACUACGUG
rnacentral:rRNA from 1 species